GGGGGGCUUUCGUUUCAUUUUGUCUUUGGUUUUCAGAAACCGUCUGUGUGACCGUCCCCGUCGUAAGGGGAAGUUGGGAGCGGAGGGGGAGGUGGUGGUGCUCCAGGAGAAGCGUCGCCCAUGCGUGGAGUGAGACCUUCCCCGAGCAGAUCCCAGGGCAUCUCUGCCCCCAAAGUCACUUUGAUUGGAUUUCGAUGACUUUCUCAUAAAUGGCACCACUUAGGUGCCAGUUGAGGAAACAGACACCACAACGGUUGAUUUGACCUCCAACCAGAAUUUAUGCAGUUAGCACCAGAAGCCUGGCAGAGUUUUGAACCCAGGUUUGGUAUUUGAUGGAGACGUGUCCUUCUUUUCCAGUUUUCAUGACCUUCUUGCAUCUUCAUAUCCUGUAUAAAGUAGUUACUUGCCUAAGAAUUAAGAAGAAGGAGCAUCCACAAUCACAGCAGAUGAAGAUCCACUGGUAAAUUAUCAGGAUUUUUGGCCUGCCCUCUAAGGAAAAGGUACAGGCAGAUGCUGAAGUUCAUCCAGGCUAGAGGACAUCAUCAGAAGUACACUGGCAUAAGUACUGACUUACAUCAUGCAAGACACACUCCUAC
rnacentral:lncRNA from 1 species